AUGGAAUUACUGGAUCCCCACCCUGGGACUGCUCCCACUGCCAAAGCUGAAUGUAAAUCAAACUGGAACCAGAAGGAGACGGAAGCCAAUAAGACCUAUCCCAGUUGUUGUAAAUUUAUCUGUAACCUUGUGGAGAAGACCCCGGCGCUGGUGAACGCUGCUGUGACUUAUUCGAAGCCUCAGUUGACCACAUUUUGGUACUACGCCAAGGUUGAGCUGAUUCCUCCCAUCCCUGCUGAGAUCCCUAGAGUUAUUCAGAGCCUGAAAGAAAUAGUCAAUAGUGCUCAGACUGGUAGCUUCAAACAACUCACAGUUAAGGAAGCUGUGCUGAAUGGUUUGGUGGCCACUGAGGUGUUGAUGUGGUUUUAUGUCGGAGAGAUCAUAGGCAAGCAUGGCAUCAUUGGCUAUGAUGUUUGAAGACCAAUCUUUAACAUCUGGUUAUAUUUGAUAUAUUAUUUGAGUGUUGUUGGACCACGUGUGAUCAGACUGCUAGCUGAAUAAAAUAAGAUGUGU